rnacentral:rRNA from 1 species
UACGGGGGGGGCAAGCGUUGUUCGGAAUUACUGGGCGUAAAGGGCUCGUAGGCGGUCUGUUACGUCGGGAGUGAAAACUCAGGGCUCAACCCUGAGCCUGCUUCCGAUACGGGCAGACUAGAGGUAUGCAGGGGAGAAUGGAAUUCCUGGUGUAGCGGUGAAAUGCGCAGAUAUCAGGAGGAACACCGAUGGCGAAGGCAGGUCUCUGGGCAUUAACUGACGCUGAGGAGCGAAAGCAUGGGGAGCGAACAGG